rnacentral:rRNA from 1 species
GAUGAACGCUAGCUACAGGCUUAACACAUGCAAGUCGAGGGGCAUCAGGAAGAAAGCUUGCUUUCUUUGCUGGCGACCGGCGCACGGGUGAGUAACACGUAUCCAACCUGCCCUUUACUCGGGGAUAGCCUUUCGAAAGAAAGAUUAAUACCCGAUAGCAUAAUGAUUCCGCAUGGUUUCAUUAUUAAAGGAUUCCGGUAAAGGAUGGGGAUGCGUUCCAUUAGGUUGUUGGUGAGGUAACGGCCCACCAAGCCUUCGAUGGAUAGGGGUUCUGAGAGGAAGGUCCCCCACAUUGGAACUGAGACACGGUCCAAACUCCUACGGGAGGCAGCAGUGAGGAAUAUUGGUCAAUGGGCGCUAGCCUGAACCAGCCAAGUAGCGUGAAGGAUGAAGGCUCUAUGGGUCGUAAACUUCUUUUAUAUAAGAAUAAAGUGCAGUAUGUAUACUGUUUUGUAUGUAUUAUAUGAAUAAGGAUCGGCUAACUCCGUGCCAGCAGCCGCGGUAAUACGGAGGAUCCGAGCGUUAUCCGGAUUUAUUGGGUUUAAAGGGAGCGUAGGUGGACUGGUAAGUCAGUUGUGAAAGUUUGCGGCUCAACCGUAAAAUUGCAGUUGAUACUGUCAGUCUUGAGUACAGUAGAGGUGGGCGGAAUUCGUGGUGUAGCGGUGAAAUGCUUAGAUAUCACGAAGAACUCCGAUUGCGAAGGCAGCUCACUGGACUGCAACUGACACUGAUGCUCGAAAGUGUGGGUAUCAAACAGGAUUAGAUACCCUGGUAGUCCACACAGUAAACGAUGAAUACUCGCUGUUUGCGAUAUACAGUAAGCGGCCAAGCGAAAGCAUUAAGUAUUCCACCUGGGGAGUACGCCGGCAACGGUGAAACUCAAAGGAAUUGACGGGGGCCCGCACAAGCGGAGGAACAUGUGGUUUAAUUUGAUGAUACGCGAGGAACCUUACCCGGGCUUAAAUUGCAGUGGAAUGAUGUGGAAACAUGUCAGUGAGCAAUCACCGCUGUGAAGGUGCUGCAUGGUUGUCGUCAGCUCGUGCCGUGAGGUGUCGGCUUAAGUGCCAUAACGAGCGCAACCCUUAUCUUCAGUUACUAACAGGUCAUGCUGAGGACUCUGGAGAGACUGCCGUCGUAAGAUGUGAGGAAGGUGGGGAUGACGUCAAAUCAGCACGGCCCUUACGUCCGGGGCUACACACGUGUUACAAUGGGGGGUACAGAAGGCAGCUAGCGGGUGACCGUAUGCUAAUCCCAAAAUCCUCUCUCAGUUCGGAUCGAAGUCUGCAACCCGACUUCGUGAAGCUGGAUUCGCUAGUAAUCGCGCAUCAGCCACGGCGCGGUGAAUACGUUCCCGGGCCU